CAGUAGCCGCGGGAAUACGUAGGGUGCAAGCGUUAAUCGGAAUUACUGGGCGUAAAGCGUGCGCAGGCGGCUUGUUAAGACAGAUGUGAAAUCCCCGGGCUCAACCUGGGAACUGCAUUUGUGACUGGCAAGCUAGAGUGUGGCAGAGGGGGGUGGAAUUCCGCGUGUAGCAGUGAAAUGCGUAGAUAUGCGGAGGAACACCGAUGGCGAAGGCAGCCCCCUGGGCCAACACUGACGCUCAUGCACGAAAGCGUGGGGAGCAAACAGGAUUAGAUACCCGAGUAGUCCCUGUCUCUUAUAC
rnacentral:rRNA from 1 species